rnacentral:rRNA from 1 species
AACGUAGGAGACAAACGUUAUCCGGAGUUACUGGGCGUAAAGGGCGUGUAGGUGGUUUCGUAAGUCUGGCGUGAAAUUUUUCGGCUUAACCGGGAAAGGUCGUCGGAUACUGCGGAACUAGAGGACGGUAGAGGCGUGUGGAAUUCCGGGUGUAGUGGUGAAAUGCGUAGAGAUCCGGAGGAACACCAGUGGCGAAGUCGACACGCUGGGCCGUACCUGACACUGAUGCGCGACAGCAUGGGGAGCAAACAGG